GACGAACGCUGGCGGCGUGCUUAACACAUGCAAGUCGAACGGAAAGGCCCUGCUUUUGUGGGGUGCUCGAUUGGCGAACGGGUGUGUAACACGUGAGUAACCUGCCCUUGACUUUGGGAGAACUUCAGGAAACUGGGGCUAAUACCGGAUAGGAGCUCCUGCAGCACGGUGGGCGUUGGAAAGUUUCGGCGGUUGGGGAUGGACUCGCGGCUUAUCGGCUUGUUGGUGGGGUAGUGGCUUACCAAGGCUUUGACGGGUAGCCGGCCUGAGAGGGUGACCGGCCACAUUGGGACUGAGAUACGGCCCAGCCUCCUACGGGAGGCAGCAGUGGGGAAUAUUGCACAAUGGGCGCAAGCCGGAUGCAGCAACGCCGCGGGCGGGAAGACGGCCUUCGGGUUGUAAACCGCUUUCGCCUGUGACGAAGCGUGAGUGACGGUAAUGGGUAAAGAAGCACCGGCUAACUACGUG
rnacentral:rRNA from 1 species